rnacentral:rRNA from 1 species
CAAUAGCGUAUAUUAAAGUUGUUGCAGUUAAAAAGCUCGUAGUCGGAUUUCGGGUCGGGCCGAGCGGUCUGCCGAUGGGUAUGCACUGUUUGGCGCGGCCUUCUUUCCGGAGACCGCGGCUACUCUUAACUGAGCGGGCGUGGGAGACGGAUCGUUUACUUUGAAAAAUCAGAGUGUUUCUAGCAGGCAGCUCGCUCUUGCAUAGGUUAGCAUGGGAUAAUUUAAUAGGACUCUGGUGCUAUUUUGUUGGUUUCGAACACCGGAGUAAUGAUUAAUAGGGAUAGUUGGGGGCAUUAGUAUUUAAUUGUCAGAGGUGGAAUUCUCGGAUUUGUUAAAGACUAACUUAUGCGAAAGCAUUUGCCAAGGAUGUUUUCAUUAAUCAAGAACGAAAGUUAGGGGAUCAAAGAUGAUUAGAUACCAU